UAUGUUACGAUGAUGCUAGUGUUGGAGGGUUUCCGCCCUUCAGUGCUGCAGCUAACGCAUUAAGCAUUCCGCCUGGGGAGUACGGCCGCAAGGCUGAAACUCAAAGGAAUUGACGGGGGCCCGCACAAGCGGUGGAGCAUGUGGUUUAAUUCGAAGCUACGCGAAGAACCUUACCAGGUCUUGACAUACUAUGCAAAUCUAAGAGAUUAGACGUUCCCUUCGGGGACAUGGAUACAGGUGGUGCAUGGUUGUCGUCAGCUCGUGUCGUGAGAUGUUGGGUUAAGUCCCGCAACGAGCGCAACCCUUAUUAUCAGUUGCCAGCAUUAAGUUGGGCACUCUGGUGAGACUGCCGGUGACAAACCGGAGGAAGGUGGGGAUGACGUCAAAUCAUCAUGCCCCUUAUGACCUGGGCUACACACGUGCUACAAUGGAUGGUACAACGAGUUGCGAACUCGCGAGAGUAAGCUAAUCUCUUAAAGCCAUUCUCAGUUCGGAUUGUAGGCUGCAACUCGCCUACAUGAAGUCGGAAUCGCUAGUAAUCGCGGAUCAGCAUGCCGCGGUGAAUACGUUCCCGGGCCUUGUACACACCGCCCGUCACACCAUGAGAGUUUGUAACACCCAAAGUCGGUGGGGUAACCUUUUAGGAACCAGCCGCCUAAGGUGGGACAGAUGAUUAGGGUGAAGUCGUAACAGGUAAACCGGAAA
rnacentral:rRNA from 1 species